GACAGAAUGACCCUGGCCAGCGACUUGAGCAAGUCCGGAACUUGGAGCAGGGAAACCAAGCUGGCCUUGGCUUAGCCAGGCCCCCUGGGCCUCAGGGAGGCCUUGCUGGGGCCCACUGGCAGCCAUACUCCAGACUCGGCACAGAUUCUCUUCCUGGAGGCCGAAAGGUCCCUGCAGCCUGGAGUUUGGCUUUGCAAGUCAGCCUCCUGUGGGCUGUGGAGCCCCAGAGGUCCCAGCUGGGUCCUGCCUUGAGAAGUCGGGAGAAUGACCCCCUGCUUGCACCUUUACGGUCUGAGGAAGAAGAUGGUGUUUCUGAGAGGCACCAACCUGCUGGGCCCCAGGGACCCAUGGUCAGGCCUCUAUCAGGGAAGGGGUCCUUGGGGACACUGAGGCUGCAGGCCCAGGGGGCUCCAUCUGUGGCUCUGGCGGGCCUCCCUCCCACUGUGAGCUGCUGCAAGCUCUAAUUGUUCUCUGUAGCCGGAUGAGUAAUUGAGAGGUCUUUGAAGGGAAUUAAUUAGGCCGCUUAUUGACUGUAAAUGCUUGCCGUGGAUGAUAAAGGGGAGGCUGGCCGCCUGUGUGGGCCCGGCUGGGGCACAAUCAGACAUUUCAUUCACAUUCGGCUCCCUCUGGGGGUCAGCUGCUCAGCUUGGCAGGGACCUGACCCUCUUGUCUGUCCUGCCCCCUCCUUCAAGAAGGGACCAGGCAGGCUGAGCCCGGCUUAGUUUUUCCAACGCUACACCCCGCUUCUGGUAUUUGGAGGCAGCACUAGCUAUCCCCUAAGUCUUCCCAAAGGUGAGAUGGGGUUCCCCGCAGGAGGAAUGGGGGUCUAUCCUGUCCCAUGUUGGGAGCCCUUCCCUGGAAUGUUAGGUUGAAGUCCAGAGGCAGGCUGGGGGCAGGUUCUCACCCUCAGCUCUCGGAGAGAGGUUACCUACGCUGGGGACCUGCUGUGCUGGCCCUGGGCCCCAUCUCUCCAGCCCACCCCCGUGUCCCAACCCUUUUCUGGGAAGAGGGGAGAGACUGGAAACGGAGCACGCAUUGCAUUCCCACCCUCCUAGCUAGGGUCAGAGUGGAAACAGCCUUGCAGUUGGACGCAGUUAGCGAGGAGGGCUGGACAGUGCUGGGGUGGUGCCUGGCUGCCUUGCCCGGAAGGUGGAAGUGAUAGCCUGGACUGAGAAGUAGCCAUGGUAGCACCCCGUUCAUAUGGCCUCUGCUCCCGGCUGGCUGGCCGGUUCUAAGCCAGGUCCAGGCUGACUGACUUGCUGAUUUUGUUUUCCUGUAACUAUGCAGAUCUUUUGCGAAGAGCCAGUACUGUGGAAAUAUUGUAGUUUGCAGAGAUGCAGCAGCCUCUGGCUUGGUUAAGGAUUGUUUGAAUGAGUGAGUGAGUGAGUGAGUGAGUGAGUGAGUGAGUGAGUGAGUGGAUGUGUUAGCCCCCUUUUCAUGGAGCCAGAGGACCCAUACUGUGAGGGAUCUGCCAGGCCCAGGGAAUGGCAAUGUUGGUAUCUUGAGAUGAAAUACAGACUCAGCCACUGGAGGACAACACCCUACCCUCUCCACUCCCCACCUCUCAACUCCCUCCUCUCCCCCCCCCCCGCCACGCUCCCCAUACCUGAGUCCCGAGGAGUUAGCCCUUGACUCUAGAGUUGCUAUAGCAUCACGGGAUCCUGUGAGACCUUGCAGAUCAAUUCAGGCCUGCAAGUGUGGGCACCGGAGCUGGUGCAGAAGGAGGUCGAGUGUGACCUUGCUCCAGAUGGACAGGCCUCGACAGCUCUCAGAUAGCUGGAAGGGAAAAGGCUAUGGAACCAGGUGACUAGAUCUGAAGUUGGGGGACCAGGAGGAGACAGCAGCAGGUGCCCCCUCAGAAGCAUAGGGACUUGGCUGUUGCCUUCAGGGAGCUAGGGUUGUAACGAUCCUGGCAGGAGGGACGAUAUAUUUUUGUUUGUUUGUUUUUGUUGUUUUGUUUUGAGACAGGGUUUCUCUGUGUAGCCCUGGCUGUCCUGGAACUUGCUCUGCAGACCAGGCUGACCUCGAACUCAGAGAGACUGACCUGCCUCUGCCUCCACCACCAUCUCUGCGUGCACCACCAAACCCCGGCCCAGGAGGGCAGAUGUCCUACCAAGACACUUGUGCAUCUCGCUUUGGCUGCUGGACUAUUAAGAAGAUGAACCCCAAGAAUUUGGAAUCUCGCCAGGAGUCUUGUGCUGGGAGAAGGGACCAGCCAGAGGGGAGCUUGUCUCCUUGGAAGAGAUUUCACACCAUUCUAGCAACUUGUUAGACCACCUACAGGAGAGAGAAGCUGGGACAAUGAUGAACCAGUGCCCACCUUGACCAGCUCUCCAUGCCUCUUGCCCUCUGUUUAAACAUAAAGCUCACACCAGGACCCUCAGAUGGACUUGGAGAUCACUGGACCUCUUUGGGUCUCUUCCUAAUGUGCCCACACUGAAUAAAUCUCCUUUCUCUGCUUUUCA